ACUUAUUUUCACAGCACUGGAGUUGUACAAAUACACUAUUCGUACAGAAGCACUCUGUCAGUGAUAGGGAGCUUGUAGCCAAGAUGAGAGCAAACCUGGCAGAGGCUCCUUUCUUCAGCUCCACCUGGUUUUGCGCAAGAUUCUGGCGACCCUUUAACCCUGCGCCUCUAACCGGUUAAAGUCAGCUGGCUGAUGCUGGGAUUGCUGUUGUUUAAGUUGUUAAAUGUUACAAAGAUGCACUGCUUUCUAUGGGUGCUGAAGCACAUGGACCUUUUUGGUGAGCAAGUUAGAUUCCAUGCAUUACCUCUAUUUCAGAUUUCCCACAGAUUUUGGGAGUUGCUGGGAAAGCUACUGUCCUGAAGAGGUGGAAGAGGAAGGAAAAUGGUGGGCUCAGACUGGAGAAGGAUUGGAAAGAGUUCAGAGGAACCAGAUUUUCACUUUAUCCCAAGCUCCCAGAGAUGGGUGGCCAAUAUACUGACAGCUCUGCUCCUAAUCCUGCCUCACACACACAGCAGCAACAUCCUCCAUCCACUUCCCAUCAAUGAUGGGAGCAGCAGGUAUACCUGGCCUUACGGGCAGAAGGCAGAGAACAGUUGUCUCAGUGGCAGUCACUGCUCCAACAGUUCCUUUUCAACUCUUCUGUGGAAAGGAGGUGUUGGCCAGAUGGGAAUGUCCUGACGGAUUUCUCCAAAUCUCACAAAUCAGAUUGACCAAUUUCACAUU